CCGUCCUAAGGUUGGUGAGUU
rnacentral:miRNA from 1 species